rnacentral:ncRNA from 2 species
AACAGAGUAGAAAUGAAUGCGUAAAGUGUCCUUUGAACGGGGAGUUGUCAAGGGGACGAAAGGCGGCUUGCCUGCGGUAUUUAUUUCGCAUCCCGCUGAG